rnacentral:rRNA from 1 species
CAGGACGAACGCUGGCGGCGUGCCUAACACAUGCAAGUCGAAACGGAACUGCUUCGAAGGAUUUCUUCGGAAUGACAUUGAUUCAGUUUAGUGGCGGACGGGUGAGUAACGCGUGAGUAACCUGCCUUCAAGAGGGGGGAUAACAUUCUGAAAAGAAUGCUAAUACCGCAUGACAUAUGAUUGUCGCAUGGCAGACAUAUCAAAGAUUUAUCGCUGAUAGAUGGGCUCGCGUCCGAUUAGAUAGUUGGUGAGGUAACGGCCCACCAAGUCGACGAUCGGUAGCCGGACUGAGAGGUCGAACGGCCACAUUGGGACUGAGACACGGCCCAGACUCCUACGGGAGGCAGCAGUGGGGGAUAUUGCACAAUGGGGGAAACCCUGAUGCAGCGACGCCGCGUGAGGGAAGACGGUCCUCUGGAUUGUAAACCUCUGUCUUCGGGGACGAAAGAAGACGGUACCCGAGGAGGAAGCCACGGCUAACUACGUG